GGCCAACUGGCCCAAUGGCAAGGCGCUUGACUACGAUUUAAACCUAUCUGUGUAGGCUGACGGUAUCAAGAGAUUGUAGAUUCGAUUCCUUCGUUGGUCA